GUGGGGAAUCUUCCGCAAUGGACGAAAGUCUGACGGAGCAACGCCGCGUGAGUGAAGAAGGUUUUCGGAUCGUAAAGCUCUUUCGUUAGGGACGAACGUGCUCUUUGUGAAUAAUGAGGAGUAAUGACGGUACCUAAAUAAGAAGCCACGACUAGCUACGUGCCAGCAGCCGCGGUAAUACGUAGGUGGCAAGCGUUGUCCGGAAUUAUUGGGCGUAAAGCGCGCGCAGGCGGGAUAUCAAGUCUGUCUUAAAAGUGCGAGGCUCAACCUCGUGAGGGGACAGAAACUGGUAUUCUUGAGUGUCGGAGAGGAAAGUGGAAUUCCAAGUGUAGCGGUGAAAUGCGUAGAGAUUUGGAAGAACACCAGUGGCGAAGGCGACUUUCUGGACGAUGUCUGACGCUGAGGCGCGAAAGCUAGGGGAGCGAACGGGAUUAGAAACCCCAGUAGUCC
rnacentral:rRNA from 1 species